rnacentral:tRNA from 1 species
GGCUCGUUGGUCUAGGAGUAUGAUUCUUGCUUCGGGUGCGAGAGGUCCCGGGUUCAAAUCCUGGACGAGCCC